rnacentral:misc_RNA from 1 species
GGAAAAGGGAAAAUCAAGGCACGGCACAUGCUGGAGCUGGAUACAAAGCAUUUUUGUCCAAGUUGACCUCAUCUAGGAAUAGACAUGCCAAAUCCAAGAGACUCGAUGACUGUGAAGUCAGUUGUGGGCCAUGCUCAAGGAGAUCUUUUCUUAGAAACUAUAAAAAUUUUAGUAGAAGUGGACUUCCCCAGAGGUUUUUAUAUUACGA